GGGAGAGAUGGGGAUGGGGAGGCGUGUUGUGGAGCGAGGGAGUGCGUUCCGUGGGUGAGGAAUGUGAGACACAGGGGGAGACACAGGGGGAGAGACAGGGGGAGAAAGAGUGACGGAGUCUCCUUCAAGUCUCGCGCCAAAAUCGUGGACUGGAUCAAGGAAUUCCCGGACUGGAUCAGCUGAAUCGCGGACUGGAUCGCCCACUCUGGACGUGGUCUCUCCAAAUUCCGGGCUGGAUCCCCUGAAUCCCGGAGUGGAGCUCCGAAUCACGGACUGGAGCCUCUGCUUUUCACGGACUGGAUCGCCGAGGGCUGGAUUCAGCGCCCCCCCCCGAAAUGGAUCUCUGACUUUCCGGAUCUGGAUCGCUGAAUUCCCCCGGACCGGAUUCCUCAACCCCUCCCCCGCCGGAACUGGAUCGCCGAGUGUUCUGGAACUGGAUCGCUGAUUUUCUGGAACUGGAUCUCUGAGUUUUGGAACUGGAUCGCCAAGUUCUGGAACUGGAUCGCAGACUUUCCGGAUCUGGAUCGCUCAGUUCUGGAACUGGAUCGCUGACUUUCCAGAACUGGAUUGCCAAGUCCUGGAACUGGAUCGCUGAGUUUCCGGAUCUGGAUCGCCAAGUUCUGGAACUGGAUCGCUGAUUUUCUGGAACUGGAUCUCUGAGUUUUGGAACUGGAUUGCCAAGUUCUGGAACUGGAUCGCAGACUUUCCAGAUCUGGAUCGCUCAGUUCUGGAACUGGAUCGCUGACUUUCCAGAACUGGAUUGCCAAGUCCUGGAACUGGAUCGCUGAGUUUCCGGAACUGGAUCGCCAAGUUCUGGAACUGGAUCGCUGACUUUCCGGAUCUGGAUCGCUCAGUUCUGGAACUGGAUCGCAGACUUUCCGGAUCUGGAUCGCCAAGUUCUGCAACUGGAUCGCUGACUUUCCGGGAAACUGGAUUUCGGAAUCCGCACCGGGAUCUUCUUUUCACCGAACUGGAUCGCCGAUUUAAACUUUUUUUUUUUUUAGCCAGACCCGGACUGGACUAAAUAGCCGGAACGGACUUGAUACUGGACCGGACCGGAUCGCCGAUUCCCUCAGGAGGUCGAGCAACUCAACCCUGCCACCGCCUCCUGCCGACUCUCUGUGUCUCUCUCUCUCUCGGCAAUGCUGGCUGCUUGAACGAAGAGAAAUGCGAACCACCACCCACCGCCACCACCGCCUCAGCCGCCACCACCGCCUCAAGCCGCCACCACCACCACCAGCCGUGCCAGCGGCCUGGCGCUGGAUGGUGGCAGCGCCAGGCUGCUGGUGGUGGUGGUCGCUCUCCUGCUGGGACUGCCCGCACGUGGAGACGCCCUCCACGUGUU